rnacentral:rRNA from 1 species
GAUGAACGCUGGCGGCGUGCCUAAUACAUGCAAGUCGAGCGAACAGACGAGGAGCUUGCUCCUCUGACGUUAGCGGCGGACGGGUGAGUAACACGUGGAUAACCUACCUAUAAGACUGGGAUAACUUCGGGAAACCGGAGCUAAUACCGGAUAAUAUAUUGAACCGCAUGGUUCAAUAGUGAAAGACGGUUUUGCUGUCACUUAUAGAUGGAUCCGCGCCGCAUUAGCUAGUUGGUAAGGUAACGGCUUACCAAGGCAACGAUGCGUAGCCGACCUGAGAGGGUGAUCGGCCACACUGGAACUGAGACACGGUCCAGACUCCUACGGGAGGCAGCAGUAGGGAAUCUUCCGCAAUGGGCGAAAGCCUGACGGAGCAACGCCGCGUGAAUGAUGAUGGUCUUCGGAUCGUAAAACUCUGUUAUUAGGGAAGAACAAAUGUGUAAGUAACUAUGCACGUCUUGACGGUACCUAAUCAGAAAGCCACGGCUAACUACGUG